GACGAACGCUGGCGGCGUGCUUAAUACAUGCAAGUCGAACGGAAAGGCCCUGCUUUUGUGGGUUGCUCGAGUGGCGCACGGGUGAGUAACACGUGAGUAACCUGCCCUUGACUUUGGGAUAACUUCAGGAAACUCGGGCUAAUACCCGAUAGGAGCUCCUGCUGCAUGGUGGGGGUUGGAAAGUUUCGGCGGUACGGGAUGGACUCGCGGCUUAUCCGCUUGUUGGUGGAGUAGUGGCUUACCAAGGCUUUGACGGGUAGCCGGCCUGAGAGGGUGACCGGCCACAUUGGGACUGAGAUACGGACCAGAAUCCUACGGGAGGCAGCAGUGGGGAAUAUUGCACAAUGGGCGGAAGCCUGAUGCAGCAACGCCGGGUGCGGGAUGACGGGCUUCGGGGUGUAAACCGAUUUCGACGGUGACGAAGCGGGAGUGACGGUAAUGGGUAAAGAAGCAACGGCUAACUACGUG
rnacentral:rRNA from 1 species